CUCCAAAAGGACCCGUUUAAGGAUGCUUUUCUCUGCAGUGUCCCUCAUUUCUCCUUCACAGAGUGUCUCCUUUCCUCCAGAGUUUUCGGAAACAUCAGCACAAACUUGAAAACAUGCCCCCUCCUUCCUGCCACCACACAUGGCUCCCGGUGAUAUGGGAAGAAUUAGGCCCCUCUGAGUUCUUAUCUGUGUCAGUCCAGCUUCAGUUAGAUUAAGAUUUAUCUGCUUCAGUUAAUCCUGAAACAACACUCAUGGGUUAGGGGUAGAGUGGGCUGGGCCCUGGGGGCUGCUGGGCCCUUGAGGCGGCUGGGCCC